AUGUUGAAGCCCGUGGCAUCGUCUUCCUCGUCGGCCCGGUUCUGGGCCGUCAUCGCCGCUGCACUGAUCUUGUGUGCGGCCAACGUUGAGCUUGUCCAUGGAGGUGGAAGGCCUGUGCCUAGACCUCCAGCUCCGGUAGGGCAUGUGGCUCCCAAGGAGCACUGCCCUGACUGCAGCGACAACCUGCCACCGUCGCCGCCGCCGCUUCCUCCUACUCCUCCGGCAGCUGCAGCAGGCGUACCUCCUGCUAGCGGCCAUGUGUGA
rnacentral:rRNA from 1 species